AGGGUUGGGGGGGGUGCUUAACCAUGCAAGUCGAACGGGAUCCAUCAGGCUUUGCUUGGUGGUGAGAGUGGCGAACGGGUGAGUAAUGCGUGACCGACCUGCCCCAUACACCGGAAUAGCUCCUGGAAACGGGUGGUAAUGCCGGAUGCUCCGACUCCUCGCAUGGGGUGUCGGGAAAGAUUUCAUCGGUAUGGGAUGGGGUCGCGUCCUAUCAGGUAGUCGGCGGGGUAACGGCCCACCGAGCCUACGACGGGUAGCCGGCCUGAGAGGGCGACCGGCCACAUUGGGACUGAGAUACGGCCCAGACUCCUACGGGAGGCAGCAGUGGGGAAUAUUGCACAAUGGGCGCAAGCCUGAUGCAGCGACGCCGCGUGCGGGAUGACGGCCUUCGGGUUGUAAACCGCUUUUGAUCGGGAGCAAGCCUUCGGGUGAGUGUACCUUUCGAAUAAGCACCGGCUAACUACGUGCCAGCAGCCGCGGUAAUACGUAGGGUGCAAGCGUUAUCCGGAAUUAUUGGGCGUAAAGGGCUCGUAGGCGGUUCGUCGCGUCCGGUGUGAAAGUCCAUCGCUUAACGGUGGAUCUGCGCCGGGUACGGGCGGGCUGGAGUGCGGUAGGGGAGACUGGAAUUCCCGGUGUAACGGUGGAAUGUGUAGAUAUCGGGAAGAACACCAAUGGCGAAGGCAGGUCUCUGGGCCGUUACUGACGCUGAGGAGCGAAAGCGUGGGGAGCGAACAGGAUUAGAUACCCUGGUAGUCCACGCCGUAAACGGUGGAUGCUGGAUGUGGGGCCCGUUCCACGGGUUCCGUGUCGGAGCUAACGCGUUAAGCAUCCCGCCUGGGGAGUACGGCCGCAAGGCUAAAACUCAAAGAAAUUGACGGGGGCCCGCACAAGCGGCGGAGCAUGCGGAUUAAUUCGAUGCAACGCGAAGAACCUUACCUGGGCUUGACAUGUUCCCGACAGCCGUAGAGAUAUGGCCUCCCUUCGGGGCGGGUUCACAGGUGGUGCAUGGUCGUCGUCAGCUCGUGUCGUGAGAUGUUGGGUUAAGUCCCGCAACGAGCGCAACCCUCGCCCUGUGUUGCCAGCACGUCAUGGUGGGAACUCACGGGGGACCGCCGGGGUCAACUCGGAGGAAGGUGGGGAUGACGUCAGAUCAUCAUGCCCCUUACGUCCAGGGCUUCACGCAUGCUACAAUGGCCGGUACAACGGGAUGCGACACGGCGACGUGGAGCGGAUCCCUGAAAACCGGUCUCAGUUCGGAUUGGAGUCUGCAACCCGACUCCAUGAAGGCGGAGUCGCUAGUAAUCGCGGAUCAGCAACGCCGCGGUGAAUGCGUUCCCGGGCCUUGUACACACCGCCCGUCAAGUCAUGAAAGUGGGUAGCACCCGAAGCCGGUGGCCUAACCCUUUGUGGAUGAGCCGUCUAAGGUGAAAUUUUGGGU
rnacentral:rRNA from 1 species